CUCUGAACCUCACCCCAGGGAUUUGCCAUUUCUCUUGGACCUUUAAUGUGAUCUGGUUCAGGUCGCCACAGACAUUACUCAGUAUUUCACUUAUUAGGGUUUUCUCAGGUAAAUUAAAGAAUUUACCUAAAACCACAAAGCAAAGAAAUAAUUGCCUGCCAUACUCUUUACUCAGGUCAAUGUUCCGCUGGAGUCUUCACUCUGCCUCCCUCAGAUCUCUACAUAAGCUAUUCAAGAAAGCCACAAUGUUGUCAACAUGGGGAAAAAAUAUCACAUAUUCUUUAUAUAGAAGUUUACCUAGCAGACAUAUCUUUAACCAGUGGCUUCGGGUUUCUGUCUGAACGUAGAGCUGAAAACCACGUACCAGGAGUGCUGAUACACCCGACAGCAGAGGUAAGACCAACUCUUCUGCUCUGAAUGACCCACC
rnacentral:lncRNA from 1 species